UGGAGUCAGGAAUAGGCCCGUC
rnacentral:piRNA from 1 species